GGCCUGGUAGCGGGCGGUUUCCGCGCCUACGUCCAAUACGUCUGCUAAUUCCAUAUGCAGGAGUGCUCGUUCGACUCGAGCCUGGGCCA